GGCCUGAGUAAUGCUAAAUUGCAAGUUUAGUUUGGGAAACGUAAGUUUUCGUAGGUCUA
rnacentral:tRNA from 1 species